AUCUGCUAGGAAUUUGUGUUAUUUGUUGGGGUUUCCCUGAGGCACAAGGACUGAAUUCAGACAGUUUCUAUGGCAACUAUCUGAGAGGCCAAACACAUCCUUAGCAACACAGGUCAAAGGUUUUUUGGGGGGUGGGGAAGGAAUUUUGAAAAGCCACCACCACUUGCUUUUAACCGUGGACCACUGACAAAUACACAGUCAGGGCUGCUGGCCUUGCUGCUUCGGGCUGAUGCCCUGAUUCACCACAGCUCACAAAAUACACAUCUCCCCGCACCCUGCAUCUGGGUCCAGCCUGAACAACAGUACAGAAGCAGCUAACACUUACUGAAAACGACUUGCCUGGCACCUGCUGCGACUUCUCUAUGUGUUACCUUACUGAUUUCUCAUGAAAACCCUACGAACCAGGGACUAUGGAAACAUCUGCCUCUUAGAGAGCAAAAAUCAAAAGGUGUGCAUAACGCAGGGAAAGAGCAAGAGCACAACCAGCUGUCUAGAUGGACUUGCUUCUCGAAUCUCUUAAGAAGCCCAGAGGGCUCUAAGCCGCAUUUAUCUUGAGAACUUCAAAAGGGAAACCAUCUCCUCAUAUGCCAAUGGUUUAGCCUACUCAGUGGAUCACAGGUCUAGGAAAAAUCCUUCUCCUUUGUCUCACAGCCAACAUAACUGUAUAAGGAAAGGAGAUCAGCUGAAGCUCGGCAAUUCGCAAAUUCACAACACCUCGGUCCACCCGUUAGUUAAAUAAAAUGACCUCGUUCUGUAAAAUCAAGUAUCUUCCCUUGUAUGUUUCACUUCCUGAAAUCAUUGACAAGACUCUCACCAGCACUGCUCUAAAAGGAGUUUGCUUCUUUAGAAACUUUUAAAUAAUGUAUGUAAAAAAAAACUUUUAAAUCUAUAAUGUGGUUUCUAAAGAUUCUAUUUGUUUACUUGAGAGAAAGAAAGAGCAUACGUAUGCAGGAG
rnacentral:lncRNA from 1 species